GAUUAAGAAGCGAAUAAUUGCAUUCAAUUUCGACCUGAAAGACUGGUAAAUAUCUACCCUUAAUCU
rnacentral:tRNA from 1 species